GCAAGUCGUGCGAGACCUUCGGGUCUAGCGGCGGACGGGUUAGUAACGCGUGGGAACGUACCCUUCUCUACGGAAUUGCCUCGGGAAACUGAGAGUAAUACCGUAUACGCCCUUCGGGGGAAAGAUUUAUCGGAGAAGGAUCGGCCCGCGUUAGAUUAGAUAGUUGGUGGGGUAACGGCCUACCAAGUCUACGAUCUAUAGCUGGUUUUAGAGGAUGAUC
rnacentral:rRNA from 1 species